UGGGGAAUUUUCCGCAAUGGGCGAAAGCCUGACGGAGCAAUACCGCGUGAGGGAUGACGGCCUAUGGGUUGUAAACCUCUUUUUUCAGGGAGGAAUCAAUGACGUGUACCUGAAGAAUAAGCAUCGGCUAACUCCGUGCCAGCAGCCGCGGUAAGACGGAGGAUGCAAGUGUUAUCCGGAAUCACUGGGCGUAAAGCGUCUGUAGGUGGUUAAAUAAGUCAACUGUUAAAUCUUGAGGCUCAACCUCAAAAUUGCGGUCGAAACUAUUAGACUAGAGUAUAGUAGGGGUAAAGGGAAUUUCCAGUGGAGCGGUGAAAUGCGUAGAGAUUGGAAAGAACACCAAUGGCGAAAGCACUUUACUGGGCUAUUACUGACACUGAGAGACGAAAGCUAGGGUAGCAAAUGGGAUUAGAUACCCCAGUAGUCCUAGCCGUAAACGAUGGAUACUAGAUGUUGAACAGAUCGACCUGUGCAGUAUCAAAGCUAACGCGUUAAGU
rnacentral:rRNA from 1 species